rnacentral:rRNA from 1 species
CAGCCGCCGCGGUAAUACGUAGGGUGCAAGCGUUAAUCGGAAUUACUGGGCGUAAAGCGUGCGCAGGCGGUUAUGUAAGACAGAGGUGAAAUCCCCGGGCUCAACCUGGGAACUGCCUUUGUGACUGCAUAGCUAGAGUACGGUAGAGGGGGAUGGAAUUCCGCGUGUAGCAGUGAAAUGCGUAGAUAUGCGGAGGAACACCGAUGGCGAAGGCAAUCCCCUGGACCUGUACUGACGCUCAUGCACGAAAGCGUGGGGAGCAAACAGGAUUAGAUACCCUGGUAGUCCACGCCCUAAACGAUGUCAACUGGUUGUUGGGUCUUCACUGACUCAGUAACGAAGCUAACGCGUGAAGUUGACCGCCUGGGGAGUACGGCCGCAAGGUUGAAACUUAAAGGAAUUGGCGGG